rnacentral:lncRNA from 1 species
UUUUUUAAUUAAUCUCACGAAAAGAGCUCUUGCAACGAACCUAGCCCAAGCCACUAACUCGUCCCCCGAGUCAAAAAAUUGAGUUGUUGUAAAAUAAUCGGUAUGAUCAACUUCAACUCUAGACGUAUUGUCCUGAAAAAAACAUUAAAAAUUUAUUUUAAAAAAAUAAUAAAAAAAAAAAAUAUUUGAACCGGACGCCCAAAUAAGCAGUGCACGCCCAAGUUGGGCGUACAGUUGGCUGCCGGGCGCCCGCAUUGGGCGUGGAGCUGCCAACUGCAUGCCCAACUUGGGAGUGUACAGCUUAUUUGUGCGCCCGAGUUGGGCGUUUGGACAAUUUUCCCAGUUUUUUCGAUCGAGAAAACGGAAUUUUUACCUCGUUAGAUCCGCUAUCACGAUCUUCAUUCGAUGAGCUCAUUUGUGUUCGUAUAUCACACCAACAAGAAUGAUUUUUAAGCAAAUUCCCUUCAAAAGCUUCUUUUUCUAGAGAGAGAAUAUUUUAAUAAUAAACCGCAAAUAGCAAUUUUACAACCGCGAAAAGCAAAUCCCUUACAACAUACACAAGGAAUUUGUGCAAAUAACUCUUUCCCUCUAUCUCAUAAAAUAUCAUGAAUAGUGAAUAACCUUUAAAUUUGUAAUCAACCGCCUUCCAUUAAUCCUCAUAUAUUCUAAGUUCUUUUUUUUUUAAUGAAACCUUAAAAGCUAAAACAAUAUUUUAAUAAUCGUCCAAUUUGAACAAAUUUCUGGUCAGAUUGUGUUGAAUAAAAUGUAGCACAUUUUUUUUAUUAUUUCACCGAAAACAACAAUAUCAAAAAUAAUAAUAAUAAUAAUAAUAAUUUAUAUCUACAUAAGCACCUAAGGUGAAGAGGAUGUGAUUUUGUGGUAAAGAUUCUAGUGGAAAAUGGUGGGGUUUUUUGUGAAUAAUCUAAUUAGUUUGGUGGUGGACAAUUUAUAAAUUUGUACAUAAUAUAGGUGAAAGAGAAAACAUGGGUAAAAUCGAAAAUAUAUUUAAUUUGGUUGUGAAAUAAGAUAUUUUAAGGGUGAAAAUAGCACGUCUCCAAGAUUAUCUUAAAUUAUAAUGGGUUCAUUCAAUCAUGAAACAAAUAUAUUGGUUAUUGGUUCAUUCAAUCCUGUAACAAAAGAAACCCUCCGAGUACUUUUUUUUUUUUGUUCUUUUUCUUUUUUGAUAGGAACUUACAUAUAUUAAUAGAGGAGAAAACAAGGAAAGACUAUGGGUGCAAGUCAGAUGCAAUGGACCGAAAUCGACCUCUUUGAAAAAAACAAUUGGAUCUUUCCAGACAGAGCCGGCUCAAGCCUAUAUGGGGCCCUAAGAAAAUCUAAAAUCUCCUCAUAUGAAUCACAACAUGCGAGCAGAAACCAAUGCCCUCACAGUCAACUUCAAAUACUAAUUGACAACUGAACGAGGUUUAUUAUUCUGAGAUGCAUAGUGCCAACUUAAAUUGCCUAGAAAAACUGCCAGGAAAAAAAACCUUAACUUGCUCAAUGCAUAUAAGACCACUUCAAGAUUUAUACUAGUCACUUGAUCUGAACAACUAAAAGCACAAACAAUUCCAGUUGCAAAAUAACAGAAAACCCGAUAGAAAUAACAUCCCAACACUUUUACGACCGCUUUCAAAAUCUAAGGCAAGAAACAAAACUCUGUGCAUAAACAAAAGAACACCUUACAUGAAGACACAAGGCGGGGUCUUAUUGCAAGUCAUGGUCUCAUAUUUUGUAGUGAAGUUCACGAGUCAAGUUAAUAUGAUAAAAAUGUCUCCCAGAAUCGAGAAAUUCAUGAUAGGGAUUAACUGAAGACUGCCAAAGAAAAAUAAAGUAAAUACAAAAUCACAGCUCCGGAAAAGCGAACCACCGAAAGAUAAAAAGUCAAUAACCAACAAGCAAAAGAGUCGAUAUUCUCGUCAAACAAUAGGCAAAAGUUUAGUUAUGAAUAAGGUUUUUAAACUCUAAGUCAAAAGCCCAAGGGAAUAUCAAUAUAAACAUUUGUUUUAGUAGUCCUACCGAAUUGCAGUAUUACUAGAUUACUUAGGAAAGUGAAUUUCGGACAAAUAGAGACUUCAGAAACUAGUGAACCUAGGAUGGCAUGUUAACUAAGAAGAAUGCAAGAAACAGAUUUAAAAUGCCACUAUUCAAAAUAAAUUUUAGGGUAAAUUGCAUUUAACCCCCUUGUGGUUUCACCGUUUGGCACUUCACCCCCCUCUGAUAUCGAUUUAGGCACUUAACCCCCCUGUGGUUGUCAGAUUGUAGCGGCCGUCUAAUAAUCCGUUAAAGUUAACCGUGAGUGUAUCUCACUCACCCAAAAUUGAAGUGGUUGAAUGUUUCUCCAGCUGAAUUUUUUGAUAAUGACCAUGUUGUCCUUUUGCCUUCAAUAAAAACCCUAGACCAAUCUCUCAUUUUUAUUUUAAUUAAAAAAACAAAAAUAGAAAUUUCUAAACUUUUUUUUUAGUUCCGUAUUACAUAAUUUAAACCUUUAUAUUAAUUAUUUUUUAAAUUACAUAUAUGAAUUCUUUUGUAAUUUAUUUUAUAUUUUUCAAAUAAAUUUAUGUUUGAUUAGUUGAACUUCAGCCUUCUUAUAUAUAUAUAUAUAUAUAUAUAUAUAUAUAUAUAUAUAUAUAUAUAUAUAUAUAUAUAUAUAUAUAUAUAUACAUAUAUAUAUAUAUAUAUAUAUAAUAAUAAUAAAAAAUAAAUUACAAAAUCUGAAAGAAAAAUAUAAUGAGGCGUGAAUAAUACAACACCCAGGAGAACAGAGAGAAAUAGAAAUAAGAAAUUGUUCUUCAAUCAUCGGUCAAUCCAUUCAAUUUCUCCAAAUUGUUGCCGUUCUGAACAUCCGUUUUUUAUUUUCCUUACUUCAAUUACAAAGCUACGAUCUUUGGAGCCAAAGCAGAUUUCCAGUUCUAUGUUCAGUCCGCUGCCGGCGCCGCCGUCGUCAUCGUCUUCGCCACCGUUGUCGUCGUGGGUCAUGACCAUAAUAUCAAUCCGCCGCCGACCAUCACCAUGACCUCUUUUUCGAUUGUGUACCUCUUUUAGUUUCAAUUUUCAGAAUCGAAAAAACCUUCAACCACAGGAAUGACGAUAAGGAGACAGAACCAUGACCAAGGAGAACCUUAAGUUGCAUAGAUGUCCUCGAAGAAGACAAAAAAGCGCGAAUAAUGGAUUUUGAGACGCAUUUGUUGUUCCGAUGAUUUUCUUUUGUCGUCUCAGACGGAUUUGUUUUUAAGGGAUUGGAAUAGUUGGGGCGAAUUUGAAGGUGAAGGAAAAGAAGAAGAAAAUUAGGGAUUUAAGAAGUUAUGGAAAUUGUAGUUUAGUCCUCUCAAUUUGGGCUAUUUAUAAUUAAAUUAUGGAAGGGCAUUUUCGAUAUUUAACGUUUUCUGUUAGUUUAUUACACGGCCGCUACAAUCUGACAACCACAGGGGGGUUAAGUGCCUAAAUCGAUAUCAGAGGGGGGUGAAGUGCCAAACUGUGAAACCACAAGGGGGUUAAAUGCAAUUUACCCUAAAUUUUAUAUUCAGCAAGUUUAUGAAAAUAUAAAACAAAAAUUCAAAUCCAAAUCAGUACAUUAUAGUUUAUAAUCUAUGAUUACAUAACUCUGGAUUACUAGAAUCCUAAACAACUAGAGUAAGAACUAAGAACGUAUAAAAUAGAUUAUAGGUACCGUCAUGAAUUAUAGCCAAGACAUUAUAUAAACAGAUAAAAUCUAGCAGAUAAUCAUCCAUAAAUUAUAAAUUAUUAUUUAAAUAAUCCUAUUCAAGAUUAGAAAAGUUAAUAAAUUAAAGAUUAUAGAUUAUUCAAUUAUAACUGGGGGUAGAGCUAUAAAUAUGUCAUUAUGAUUACCUUAAAUCCUGCUAAGGAAAUUGAGAAACCAGCAUAACACCAUCAACUCAGCAACCUAGAGCUCUAGGAAGUACUGGGAAAUUGAGAAACAAGCAUAAUACAGCUUGUUUUACUGAACAAUAAAUACACAACCAAACAAGCCACAAAAAGAAACCAGAGGACAUGCAGAAAAAAGUUCAAGAAGCCACACGUAAUUCGAUUAUACAUUACUAAGUCUAUAUGUAGAAAAAUGAAAAAAGUUAACUCGGAUUUUUGAGAGAGCUAUAUAAUCUCCAUGCUUUUUUUUUCGCAUCAAAAGUUAACUAAUCUUGGCAAGUAAAAUUUAUUUCCAAAGGCCAAAAAAGGGUGAUCUGAUAGAGCAAUGAAGACAGCUCUUUCAUGAUAUAAUUAAUAAUUAAUCCAACCAGUUUAGACAGAAAUAGGACAGACAAAUCACAUACUUGCAGCCAAAAGACAGAUUGCCGUCAACAUUAAAAACACAGAGAGCAAUUCAGACUAAUAUUUGGUAUCAACACAUUCAUUACCAGAGACAGAUUCAUCUGCUGCAUAAAUAGGGUAUCUUCAAGAAAUUCGUUAACCAAGAAACGUAAACAUGGUCAAUAGCCCUUCACAUGAACAGAACAGGCCAUAAUGUAAAGUCUUUCAAAGUGUUGACCCAAACCACCAUAAUAUAAUAGAUUUAGUUAAGGAUCAAAAAUUUUCAAAGAUAACCAUAAAACACAACAAAUUAAAGCAACAAAUAUCUAACAAACACAACCCAAAAACUCCAACGAACAAACUGCCGACAACAGAAAUCACUAAACAAAUGGAGGAUGUUCGAUUAAACGAGUCCCCGCAAGAAGGAAGCAGAGAUAACACCCUUAAAAGGCCUGACAAUAUAAAUUUCACCUUCACCAAAUAUGCUGGUUAAUGAAGUGAUGAUGAACGGUCAGAAAAUUCCAAUGACAGAGAGUCGAUGGAGAGCAGUUAACAUAUAAUAGGGCCGAUCCCAUCUAGGUUCUGCACAAAAAGGCGAACAAACCCCAAAACCAGAAGAACAUAGAGAUCAAACAACCAUAGAACUAAACUCAAUGGCAGGGAAGGAGAACAGACUUGUGGAAUUUUCUAAAUUCGAGAGCUUUGUGACACAAACCACAUUAAUGCAUAAUCAUGCAUUUCAGUUCAGCCUAUUUUACCACUACCACGGGUUCUGCAAAAAAGGCGAGCAAGUCCCAUAACCAGAAAAACAUAGUGAUCAGACAAACAAAUAUCUAAAAUCAACAGUAAGAAGGAAGAACAGAUUGCCUGAACCUGGAUGAUUCCAAUUACACAAGAAGCAUUACAAUGCAAAACAGUAAGGAAACCUAUGUCUCAAGUAGAGAAUAAAAAUCAAGGACAGAUCAGGAAGCACAAGACAAAAUGAAACAUCGAGGCAGCGAGGAGGUAAUAACACACAUGGGAACAGAAGUCCUAUGAAAUAAAUAAAUCACAAAAUGUGCCUUGAUCGCAUUAGUUGCUUUAGACAAGAAUUAAACCUCAGAUCCCAAAACCCCAAAACAACUAGGUUGUGAGGCGAGCAAACCCCAAAACCCCUCCUCCUUUACCCGGCUUGGGACCGGCUGUGCUGAGCAAAUAAAAUAUUGCAGGCACAGGCGGAGUUACAAGAAUAAACCUAUAUACAACUACCAACAGUAAAACACACACAUAAUCACACAUAGAUAUAAGCAAGCAAAUUGUACAUACCUUUCCAGACAACAAAUAUUAAAGGCUGCAGAUAUUUGCAAGACGAAAAUUACUAAGUGCAAGACCUUACUUCAUGCAAGACCAAAAUAUAAAUAAAUUUACUAAGAUCAAGACUGGAAAUUACAAAUAUAACCCCAAUAAUAAUUUAGAUAUUAUUAAUUUAAAUUAAGUUAAUUGCUAUUGCAAGACCAAAAAAAAAAUACAAAAAAAAGAAUAAAAAAGAAAAAAGAAAAAAGAGAGGGAACUCACUCACCCAACAAAACACCAACAUCUUCUUCUUCACCCUCAUUUUACACAUUUUUUUCCACAAAAAAAUCUUCCAUAUUCUCCAAAACCCUUAUCACAUAAAACCCUCAAAUCUUACUAAAACUUGAAAAGAAGGACAUUAUGGAUACACAAGACAUAAAUAUGGAGGAUUCUAAGGUCGAAAAACACAAAGAGGUAAGAAAUAUUGUACUUUGUGAUCGUUUUUCUCGUUUUUCGCACCUCAUUUCACGUACAAAAAAAUCGACAUGUACAGGUCGAAAUAUCAGCUUUAUAUCGACACUGCAGUGUCGAAAAUGUCAAAAUAAUUCGACACCCAUUAACUAUCGAAUUAUAUUGAAAUUAUCGACAUUCUGGUGUCGAUAUUAAGCGGAUAUUUCGACGCUAGUGUGUCGAAUUAUCACUGUUACAAUUGUGUAACCAAUUUUCCGAUUUUUCUUGCAGAGUUUUGUACCAGAAAUUUGUUUAAACAAUCGACACCAGUGUGUCGAAAAUUUUCCAAAAAACCGACAAGUACAGGUCGAUUUUUGUAAAACCGCAACUCCUUCAACAUUAGUGCUACAAUCGAACCCUAGAAUCAUCAACUAUGUUCUAAAACGACUUGAAUUCAUUAUUCUAACAAUAAAAUCAUGUUUAUCACAUUUAUUUCUCAAAAAAAAGUUAAUUCAAAAAGUAAUUUUUACUUGUUUUUCGUGAGAUUGUUGCGGCGGGGUUGGGGAAACAACGGAGUUCAACGGCGACGGGCGACGGCGGUGGACUUCAACGGCGACGGCGGUGGACUUCAACGGCGACGGCGACGACGACGGGGCGACGGCGACGGGGCGGCGGGCGACGGGGCGACGAACGGUUUUUUGCUGCAAUUGAUUUUUUUUGUUUUCUUCAAUCUUCCCUCCUCGUUUUGAUUUUGUCAAUUCAAUUUCUUUUUUCUUUUUGUUUUAUUAAUUUUUUUUUUAAAUUGGUCUUGCAAAAGAAAAUUAAUAAAAUAUUUUUUUUUGUUUGUAUUUUAUUAAGGUUAUUAUAGUCUUUUUAUACUGAAUUUAAUAAAAAAAAUUAAAUUGGUCUUGCACUAAGUAAAUUUCGUCUUGCAAAUAGUCGCUGCCAAUAUUAAAAGCUUAGUUACUACAAAAAACUUUCGUACACGUUUCAAUCAUUCAUUUCCCUUUUUUUUUUCCUUUAAAUUAUUGUGGCGAACAUUACUAAUACUUACACAUUUACGCAAAACUAAAUCUUAAUCAAAUAAAUUCAUUGAGACUUGAAAAAUGCAUCACUUUAGCAUAUUACCAGUAUUAGAUAAAAACAUUAACUUACAAUGUGCAAAUAAAAAUUUCUCACACUAGAAAAUUCCCACGUAGUACAAAUCACAAUGAACUGACAAAGAACUGUGCAGACUACAGAAUGGUAUUCCAAAGCAUAUUCAAUUGAUUUUAAACAUCCUCAAAACAGCAGAGCAGCAAAUCUAAAGUCUCCUCAUAAGAAUCACAAAAUACGAGCAGAAACCGAGGCCCCAACGGCAGCCACAAAUGUAUCAUAACAUCAACAAAUCCUACAAGUGCGAAAUCCAACAUGGGCAACUGAACCAGGUUUACUAUUCUGGGAUGUAUAGUCCCCACUUCAAGAAUGUGUAGAAAAAUUGCCAGGACGAAGAACCAAAUCUUCAUAGACUAAAAUAGCUCAAUGCAUAUAAGAACACUUCAAAAUUUAUAAAGCAAAAGGAGAGAUCUUUAGAAUAACUACUCACUUGAUCUGCAGAAGCAGCACGUUGCACACCAGUAGUGCAUUAUCUGACCAACUAAAAUCACAAACAAUUCCAUUGCAGAAUGACAAUAAAACCGAUAGAAAUAACAUCCGAACACUUUCACGACUACUCCCAAAAUCUAAGGCAAUAAAUAAUACUUUGGGAAAAAACCAUGUCAAGAAACUAAAGAAUACCAUACAUGAAGACACAUGGGGGAUCUUACAGAAACUUAACUGAAGAAUAUUACAUUAGGGCUUUUUUGGGACGGCUGAACGAAGAUUUGAAGGCAUAGUCUUACAUUACCAUGGAUUUCAUUGUGGGGCUGCCUAAGUCUAGAAGAAAAGAUGCUAUUUGGAUAGCGGCGGAUAGGCUCACCAAGUACGGGCAUUUUGUGGCCCUUACUCGCGCCAUAUCACGGGAGGUCACUCUUAAGUCUAGAAGAAAGGCUACUAUUUUGUUAGGGGUGGAUAGGCUCACCAAGUACGGGCCCAUACUCGCGCCAUAUCACCGGAAGUUACUCAUAAGUAUAGGAUGCUACUUGGAUAGUGGUGGAUAGGCUCACCAAGUACGGGCCCAUACUCGCGCCAUAUCACCGGAGGUCACUCUUAAGUCUAGAAGAAAGGAUGCUAUUUGGAUAGUGGUAGAUAGGCUCGCCAAGUACGGGCCCAUACUCGCGCCAUAUCACCGGAGGUUACUCUUAAGUCUAGGAUGCUACUUGGAUAGUGGUGGAUAGGCUCACCAAGUACGGGCCCAUACUCGCGCCAUAUCACCGGCGGUCACUCUCAAGUCUAGAAGAAAGAUUGCUAUUUGGGUGGUGGCAGAUAGGCUCACCAAGUACGGGCCCAUACUCGCGCCAUAUCACCGGAGGUCACUCUUAAGUCUAGAAGAAAGGAUGCUAUUUGGAUAGUGGUGGAUAGGCUCACCAAGUACGGGCCCAUACUCGCGCCAUAUCACCGGAGGUUACUCUUAAGUCUAGGAUGCUACUUGGAUAGUGGUGGAUAGGCUCACCAAGUACGGGCCCAUACUCGCGCCAUAUCACCGGCGGUCACUCUUAAGUCUAAAAGAAAGGAUGCUAUUUGGAUGGUGGCAGAUAGGCUCACCAAGUACGGGCCCAUACUCGCGCCAUAUCACCGGAGGUCACUCUUAAGUCUAGAUUAAAGGAUCCUAUUUGGAUAGUGGUGGAUAGGCUCACCAAGUACGGGCCCAUACUCGCGCCAUAUCACCGAGGUCACUCUUAAGUCAAGAAGAAAGGAUGCUAUUGGGAUAGUGGUGGAUAGGCUCGCCAAGUACGGGCCCAUACUCGCGCCAUAUCACCGAAGGUCACUCUAAAGUCUAGAGGAAAGGAUGUUAUUUGGAUAGUGGUGGAUAGGCUCACCAAGUACGGGCCCAUACUCGCGCCAUAUCACCGGAGGUUACUCUUAAGUCUAGGAUGCUACUUGGAUAGUGGUGGAUAGGCUCACCAAGUACGGGCCCAUACUCGCGCCAUAUCACCGGAGGUUACUCUAAAGUCUAGGAUGCUACAUGGAUAGUGGUGGAUAGGCUCACCAAGUAAGGCCCCAUACUCGCGCCAUAUCACCGGAGGUUACUCUUAAGUCUAGGAUGCUACUUGGAUAGUGGUGGAUAGGCUCACCAAGUACGGGCCCAUACUCGCGCCAUAUCACCCGCGGUCACUCUUAAGUCUAGAAGAAAGGAUGCUAUUUGGAUGGUGGCAGAUAGGCUCACCAAGUACGGGCCCAUACUCGCGUCAUAUCACCGGAGGUCACUCUUAAGUCUAGAAGAAAGGAUGCUUUUUGGAUAGUGGUGGAUAGGCUCACCAACUACGGGCAUUUUGUGGCACUUACUUGCGUCAUAUCACGGGAGGUCACUCUAAGUCUAAAGGAAGAGAUGCUAUCAUUGAAAGAAGACCUAAAUGCCGUGCCAAAUAAAUAAUCAUUCAAAGAAGACCUAGACAGUAAGGCAGAGAAAAGAAACAUAUAACAUAGGCUCCCAAUAAUUAGACUGUAAGCAAGUAGAGAGUAAAAAUGGAACUACGACAUAAGCCACAAAAAAAAGGUAUUGACUGCGGUAAAAUAACCUAUCUUCCCGCUUAGCCAAUAGGUAAUCCUGUCCAAAGGGUCCAAAAUAAGGAGGAUGAGAGAGAGAGAGAGAGAGAACAAUAUAUGGAACUGACGGUUGUCUCAGAGCUGAGUUCCACUUUCUUACCACACCUGUGGAACAAAACAGUCCAAAGCAACAGCCGAAGGUCGAGGAGUAUCAUAUUGCAAGCAAACAUCUUACAUGGUAACCAAACUUCUAACGACUUCACACAAAAUAAAAACAAAACCAGGAUAAGGAUAAAAUACUCAAACUUGAAGCUCUGUCUUCUACAAAAAAAUCAUAUUUUAACUAUAUCCGUCGAAGUCUAUGCCAUCUCAUAUAAGAAAACCAAAUCAAAGGACCAUCAGACACCAAACAGAGAGAACAUAAUCAAAACUCAAACAAUCGGAAAACAGAGAAAAUAGGGGGCCAUGACCAAACAUCAUACCACAUGCUGUAUCAAAAUCAUCCAAAUAAGAACAGGAAAUCUUAAAAACAUAUGGUCAUAUAAACAAGAAAUCUGAAAAUUGAAUGAGAAGGACGAUGAUUGCAUAAGAAUAUAUCAACAUAUUACAGAAUCAGAAACAAAAGAAAAAUCGGUAAGCUAAUUAAAUCACAAAAUAAAUUAUCUUUUGUCAUCAGAUCCAACCGAGAUCUCUAGCUUAAGCAAUUGGCGAUCCUAUCCACAUUAUCCAGGUGUGCAUAAGCUCUAGUAAAAUCAGAUCAAUCGUUCUAGUUGCACAAUUAGCUUAGCUCCAUAAAAUAAAGAUGAAACCUUUCCUAAAACCACAAAACAAAAAGUACCAAAUAGUGAUUUAAAAGAUACAUUAAAAAAAAUUGUGAUCUACAGUUAGGGAAAUCAAAUUUAUCAUAAGGAGAAUCAAAUUUUAAUAGGCAGAACAGAGAGAAGGUUUACCAGACACUCUGCUUAGAAUCAGCCAAAAGAACAGAACAACAAAUUGUCAUAUAACAAACCUUCGCCUUCUAAUAUUUUUCAAGCCAGGUUGAGCAAAAAUCAAGUCAGCCGAUUACCAAACCCGGAUCAAAAUCACCAACAGAAAACCAAACCCGAAUCACAAUCAAACGGCCUGGCAAAGAUACGCCGGCGAAUCCACGACGAUCCGAUUAAUCAGACCGGCAAAAUAACCCCAAAUAAAAUCAAAUCCGAAUCACAGUCAGACGAUAUAGAGAGACAGAGAGAGAGAGAGAAAAAAAAAAAUGCGGCGGUUCCGCCGCUGAUUGGAUGGAAUUGCGCAGGUUUCAUAGCGACGACGAUACGAUACAUAUAUAAUCUCUAAGAAGACGAAACGAUAGAUACACAACCAAACUCUGGCGAAAGUUUGAGGGGAUGGGUAUAUAUAGAAGAGUCGGUGAUGAGUGGACUGCUGAGAUUAAUCUGAUCGGAGGGUGAAAAGAGUUACGUAUCCUUCUCGGUUACGCAUAUUAGUAUUUUAUUUUUUUUUCUUAAUAAUAAUAAUAAUAAUAAUAAUAAUAAUAAUAAUAAUAAUAAUAAUAAUUAAUGUCCUGUAUUUGUUGAUUUAAACCGAUUAGUUGAAAAUUGCAAUUAAUUUACAUGAUUGUUCUUCGUUUAUUUUGCAUGUGCUUAUCGCCAUUCCCAAAUUAUUCCAGGAACGAGAAAAUCGAAGACACAUGAAAACUACUUUAUAUAAACAACUAUAUAAACAUGAAAACCAAUAUGUAUAAACAACUAUAUAAACAUGAAAAUCACUAUGUAUGAACAACUAUAAACAUGAAAAUCACUCUGUAUAAACAACUAUAUAAACAUACAAACCACUCUCUAUAACAACUAUGUAAACAUGAGAACCACUAUGUAUAACAGCUAUGUCAACAUGAAAACCACUCUGUAUAACAACUAUAUAAACAUGAAAACCACUAUGUAUAAUAGCUAUGUAAACAUUAAAACCACUCUGUAUAAUUACAAAUUACAAAUUCACUUUCUUGCUCGGAUAAACAACAACAUAACGUUCAAGCAAAACAAACAUGUUCAUACAUCUACAAUUCUCUCGAGAUAACUUCUAAUUGAGAUGUUGGGUUUCGAUAAUCCAUUGAAGACUGAUAUUUGCUGGGUUGAUAACUUUACAAAGUAAAUCGAAGAACAUUAACCCCCUAGCGCCGCCACAGAUCUCUGUAGUGCCAAGCAUAACUCUAAAAAAAUGCAGUGUCUGCGAUGCUACUGUUUUUCGUUUCUCUAUGAAUACAGUUUAUGAUAGUGUAUAAAUGUCUAAGGGUGCAUUUGGAUGGAGGGAUUUGGGGGAGGGAUUUCAAAUCCAUAAUAACAAAUCCCUCGGACUUGUUUGGAUUGAGGGAUUUGGAGAUAGAUUUCAAAUCCCCACCCCUCAUUUUUAGUUGAUUUUGGAGCAAUAGUGAUGGAUUUGAAAGACUCCAAAAUUGGAGUCAUUUCAAAUCCAUUCCCCAAAUCAAAUCCCUCCCCAAAUCCCUCCAUCCAAAUGGACCCUAAGAGACUUUGAAUAUGCUUUCAGCUGAUAAAAAAAGGCUUGUAAUAUUCCAGAUCACGUGGAGGACAAAAAUCGAAGUUAGUGUGCGUGAAUACUUUUGCAGUCUGAAUAUGUAAUUGCAUAUUGAGAGAGAGAGAGAGAGAGAGAGAGAGAUGAGAUGAGCGUGAAUCUGCAAUCAAUGAUUGAGAAAACCAAUAAUUUAAUAUUAAGUUAUAAUAAUUCAAUUUACACUACCCUAACUCUUGUUGGGAAAAUUGGUUAAAAAUUGAGUCAUGAACAAUUUUUAUCAAUGUUAUUGUAUUGUCUAAUUGAUUAUAUAAAUCAAUUUUGGAUUAGAUUAAUAUAAAACCAAUUUUGUGGUGAAUGAAAAAUUACUAUCCAAAAUAUAAGGAAAGUGGGAUUUUGAGUUAUCCCACAUUGGAAAAGUAGAGAAGUACUAAGCUGUAUAUAUAUCUAAAUGUUGGGACAAAUGGUCACGCCCUUUGGGCAUUCAACAUUGUUUGGGAGAAAAGCUUAUAUGUUAUGUGUUUCAAAUCGUGCCCGCGCGCCGCCGCCGUCCGGCUCCGCUCUACUCGCUCGUUCGUACGAACUGACUGGAAUGGAUUUGGGCUUGGGCUUGGGCCCAAAUCACUAUUCCCAAUCGGCUCAACUCGAAAUGGUGCAACCAUUCAGCCCAAAAUGUACCUUUUUGCUCCAAAGGACACUAAGGACACUACUUUUCGAACCUUAUAAAUAGACAAUGUCUUUCCCAGAAUUCCUCACUUCAAUCCAAAAUCAGCCUACUGCAUAUUUAGCCUACCCUUCACAGAUUCUCUCGAAAAGUUCUACACAAAGUACAGUUCGUCGUACUUGGGAUUUGGAGUGCUCAUAUUCCAAAAAUUCUACACAAAGUACAGUUCGUCGUACUUGUGAUUUGGAGUUCUCAUAUUCCAAGCCUUGCCGUUGUAUCUUGGGAGACGAUUUCAGUUCAAGCCGUUAGCACCGUUGCGGGGAAAUUUCGUCUUAAGGACAGAGUUAACUCGCCUCGGCAAAUAUUCGUACAUAGCAGAGAUAUUUCUACAAUCUUAAGACGAAAGUUACAAUCUGCAAAAUGGCCGAACUGUCGUCGCUCACGGAGAAAAACCAGAGAAGUUCAAAGGUAUCAAUUUCAAACGUUGACAACCGAAAUUUCUCUUUUACCUCACCACCAUCAACUUGGCUGUUUUCGUUACGGAAACACCUCCCGAUGUGCCUAAUAUAUACCAACGCUACCUUGGAAACGAGAGUUGCGUGGGAUGCUUGGUUUCAUUCCGACUUCUUGAAUGCUCUAGAUGAUUCACUGUACAAUGUGUAUAGUGCUAUCAAAACCGUUAAGGAACUGUGGGAGUCCUUAGAAAGAAGUACAAAACCGAAGAUGUAGGGUUGAAGAAAUUCAUUGUCGGGAAGUUUUUGAACUUCAAAAUGGUGGACACCAAGACUCUUAUGAGCCAAGUCCAAGAGUUGCAACUCAUCAUGCAUGAUAUUCAUGCCGAAGGAAUGAGGUUGAGUGAAUCCUUUCAAGUUGCUGCAAUGAUGGAGAAGCUACCACCGCUUUGGAAGGAUUUCAAGAAUUAUCUCAAGCACAAACACAAGGAAAUGGGGCUUGAAGAUCUUAUCGGGAGGUAAGUAUUGAAGAAGAUAAUUGAAAGACCGAGUCCAAAACCGGCAAGCAAAAAAUGGAGGCUAAAACACUCCUUAUGGAACCAAACAUGCAUGUUAGCAAGAAAACGAAGGCUCGAGGAAGUGCUAGUGGCGGUGGAAAUGGAAGUAACAACGGCAAAGGAAAAUGGAAGCCAAAGAAGUUCAAGUUCAAUGGAACGUGUCACAAUUGCGGCAAGCCAAAUCACAUGGCAAAGGAUUGUCGUCAACCUAAGAGGCAAGCUAACAUGGUCGAAGACAAAAGUGUUCCUAUCGACAUGUUCGGUGUGCCGUAGUCUUUGAAGCUAACUUUGUGGACAAUCCCAAGGAAUGGUGGCUCGAUACGAGUGCAACUCGCCACAUAUGCUCCAACAAGGAGUCGUUCUCCUCCCUACACUCCAAUGAACGGUCAAAAGAUGCUCAUAGAACUUAAUUAUGCCAAACUAAUGCAGUCCCUAGUUAAUCUAGCCGACCACGUUAAUCCAACAUAACCCUUUUCUAUGGCUACCUUCAUCGCUAUGUGAACUGGAUUACAGCUUACUCUACCAUAGCACUCCCCGCUAACACGGCUUACUGCACUACAGUAGAGGGCUACAUAUAAUCCAACCGUUGGCAGAAGGAAAGAAAUAACUCAACAGUUUGGGUUUUUCUUUAUAGCUUGAAAUGAUUCUUAAUUAGAUUAAGAAUGAGGGAUUUUUAUUAAAAGUUUUAUCUCAUCAGAAGGUUCGGAUAGGUCUAUGUGAUUCCUACAUCUAUGUUCUCUAAAGGUAUAUGGAAACGCAUAUUGUCCUAAGAGGAACAUACGACCUAACUACAUAAUUAAUUACAUUAAUUAAUUAUCGGGGUUUUCAAAAUAAUUAUAGAACCUCAACUAACAUAAAUCAAUCAAAUAAUGUUGAGGUACCAUUAAUUAAGUUAAAGUAUAAUCAAUAUUAUACGUGUGUUCUAUUAAUUGAAAUCAAUUUAACAAUUUAAAUUAAUUAAUUAAUCUAACACCUAUUUAUUAAAAUAGAUGAUUGCUGAUCCGAUUAUCUAAUUGGGAUUAAUUGAAAAUAAUUUUCCAAAAAUUAAAAUCAAUUUGUUUUAAGUUUAAUUUUAGAAAUCUGAAAUAAUUUUUUUUUUUGUUUUUUUUUUUUUUUUUCAGUGAACCGUUCGGCCCAACCGGUCUGGCCGGUUCGGACCGAAGCGGUCCGGUUCUGCCCGGUCCAGUUGACCCAAAUCAGUGGGCCGGGUCAGUCAGACCGAGAACCGGUCUAACCGACCCGAAUCCACUUCGAUUCGGUCAAUUGGAUCGUGCACAACCAUCGAACCGGCCGGUCCGACCGGUUCGAUCCGAACAAUUAAAAAACGACGUUUUAAAAAUAAUUUCAGAUCCGUUUUUCCAAUUUUAAACAAUUUUAAAGCUGGAAAAAUUCUAAACAAUAUUUCAAAUAUUUUAAACUUACGAAAACUCCCAAUUACAUAACACAACAAUCGCUACUUUAAUACAUCAAACAUGCAUAAAAUCACAGCAUAUAUAAACUAACGCAAUUAAUUGCGCAACGAGCUCUGAUACCACUGUUGGGUUUCGGGCACGUGUACGCAGCGGAAACAAAAAUUUAAUGUGAUUUAAACGACUUUAAAGCACACAAGCACAUGCCCGACGAAUUUAAAUCAAUUAAUUGCGUACCUUUGCGCUUCCAGCGAAAUUAAAAACAACAUACAUGCUAAAUAAUUUAACCGAAUUUAAAUCAAUUAACAUGCUCGCGUUUAAACCAAAUAACAUGCUUGCAACGAUUAAAACGAUUACACAUAAUCACAUAAAAUCAUACGGAAGCAAACAUGAAAAUAUAGUUUAAACGUAAACGAAUCGAAACAAGGGAUUCGUGUGUUUACCUCUUGAAGCGUGAGGUAGAAGCGCUUAGCAAGUCGAGAUUGCUACGGAAACCAAUCCGUACAAUCGGGGCAGCAGCGGUGCAGCGGCAGCAGCAGUGAAACGGCCACGGCGGCGCGUGGAUUUCACGUGUGGUCUUCCGGGGCGGCGCGUGGGGUAGCGUGCGGCUUCGGCUCGUGCGCUGCUCCUCGAUUCCUUGAUCUUUGAUCUUCCUCCUCUCGGAUUUCACCUCGUAUACUUCGAUCUACUAAACACGUGGCACUAGACACGUAAUAGUUAGAAAAACGGAAGAAAAAGAGAAUGAAAGAAGCUACCAAGACAAUCGGCCGACGAACGGCCGAUUCCGGUGAAACGGCGGGGUGGACGGCGGUGGUGGCCGCGGGAGAGAGAGGGGCCGAGAGAGAGAGGUGGACGGCAAGGGUUAGGGUUUGUGUUGUGUGUGUGCAAGACCUAUAAAUCAAGUAUUUAUAUGUCUUGCAUAAAACCCUAGCGGGCUUAAGUUGGACCGGGCCCAACAGCUUAAGUUCGUUAGUACUUUUACUUGCUCGUCUCUCUUAAUUCAAUGACCGAAAAAUUGCAACGAUUACAUUUUCGGAAUCAUUAUAAUGUCCUCGUCAUUAUGAGUGCCAUCUCUCAUUUUCCAACUUUCUAAAAGUGGAAACCCUAGUUCAGUGCACUUUCUAAAUUUGGAAACUUCCCGAUUUAGAAAGUUCACUAAUACGUUCGCCUAUUCUUUUCCUUUUCUUAUUCUCAUUCAUAAUUCCAAAUUACGAAUGUUGGACCUAAUCUUAUUGACUUCCAAUCAUGCAAAGAUAAACUAUUUUAUCUCUGACCGUUUAUUCAAAGAUCUCAUGUGCACGAGCAGUGUGACCCUCGAUGGUUCAGGUGUAAGCUAGCCGUGGGCCCACAAACCUUUGUGCUCAAAACUCGUCCCUUAGAGUUACGAUUAAGAUGAAGCUCGUUUCACCUUAAUCACCCAACGAAUCAAGAUUGGCGUCUAGCAACUACGCGUCAUGAUUCCCUAGAUACAAAUGAAGUGCCUGCAAGAACCUUCAGAUAUAGUUAACGUACAGUACGGUCCCUUCGAUUCAUAUGUCCCGAUCGAACUAGAGGAAUUGGUUCAUCGAGACCUCUUUAUAUGUUCGAUGACGGUGCGAUCGUUCUAAGUGUUGUAAUCCUUACGUGCAUGACUUAGAGAAUCGAAUUCUCUAAUCAUCACUUAGUCAGCUCUGGUCAGAGACUUAGAAUGAUUACAAACUUUCAGAACACACAGGACAUCCAAGACUAUUCUAGCGAUCGAAUCCCCGACUACAAUGCACAGACCUCCCACUAGAUUUCGGACUGCACGAACACUGGCCCUUGGGAUGGUCCUCGGUGGAACUCAGGGACAGGUCACGAUACAGCUGGUCCUCUAGUGAAGUCACGGUGAUGUCUAGGUCAUAAGGACUAAUGGUGUACAACUAUACCAUAGAUAUCUCUACUCGAUUAUUGGGAUCCACUUAGAGAUUUCUAGGGUGAGGGAGUUCAGUGAACUCGUCAACUUACGAGCACCCACUUAUGCAUGCCGAUAUCACAAUACCGUUUAAUGAUGAGAUGCAGUACACAUACACUAAGUGCUAGUCUUUUAAUGGGAAAGGCCGAUAUCCUCAUUGGUGGCGUAACCCUUCGACUAGGAACACGUUUAACAGUUAUAAUACUUAAGUAAAUAUCUCACGAUCCUAACGAUCAAUUACUAGUACUUGUAAUAACUGUAAGGACUAUAUCUAUGCUUGUGACAAAGGGACAAAGAUAUAGAAUGCCAAGGUGUUUUAUCAUUAAUACGAAUAAAGGUUCGUUUAUUACAAUAAUAAAUACGAAAGACCACAGCCACAUGUUGGCUUGUUGGUCACCUACUCUAACAAGAAGUACCUAAACCAAAACAAAUAAAAAUUGGGCCUAAAACUGUUGAUUGCAUCUUUAUUCGCUACGCAAACAACAGUAGUGCAUAUCGAUGUUUAAUACACAAGUCUGAUGUUCUUGAUAUGAAUGAAGGCACAAUCAUUGAAUCAAGAAAUAUUUUUUCAGGAUAGAUUUCCCUAUAAAGAAAAAUUAGCAACGAGUUCUAACAAAAGAACAUAUGAAACUGCUAUUGGUGGUUUUCAAAGUGAUGAAGAACCUAGACGAAGUACUAGGGAAAAAAUUGCUAAGUCCUUUGGACCGGAAUUCCUAACAUAUACUAUGGAAAAUGAUCCAAAGACCAUAAAAGAAGCUUUAUCCACUCCCGAAGCGCCGCUUUGGAAAGAAGCAAUCAAUAGUGAAGUUGAUUCGAUUAUGCAAAAUCAUACGUGGGUAUUGGUUGAUCUACCUCCGGGAAAUAAACCGUUGGCCUGUAAAUGGAUUCUCAAAAGAAAUUACAAAGUUGAUGGCUCGAUUGAUAAAUACAAGGCAAGAUUAGUAUUCAAAGGAUUUAGACAAAAGGAAAGUCUAGAUUUCUUUGAUACUUAUUCGCCCGUAACGAGAAUCACAUCAAUUAGAGUAUUUCUAGCAAUUGUUGCCUUGCACAAUCUAGAAAUUCACCAAAUGGACGUCAAGACAGCCUUUUUAAAUGGUGAAUUGGAAGAAGAAAUAUAUAUGGAACAACCCGAAGGGUUUGUUGCUCAUGGACAAGAGUCCAAAGUAUGUAAACUUGUGAAGUCACUUCAUGGACUAAAACAAGCUCCCAAGCAAUGGCAUGAAAAUUUUGAUAGAACAAUACCAAAUGGGUUUAAAAUAAAUGAGUGUGAUAAAUGUGUAUACAUUAAAAACACACCAAAUGAAUUUGUGCUUAUAUGUCUCUAUGUGGAUGACAUGUUAAUUAUGGGCAGUAAUCACGAGAUAACCGUGAAAACUAAGAAAAUGUUAUCGACACAUUUUGACAUGAAAGAUAUGGGUCUGGUCUAGCCGAUGUAAUUUUGGGAGUAAAAAUUAUCAAAAAUGAUAAUGGACUAGUUCUUACUCAAUCUCAUUAUAUUGAGAAAGUACUACGAAAGUUUAAAAUGUUUGAUAGUCCACCUGCUACGACCCCAAUCGAUCUGAAAAUUCACUUAGCCAAAAAUCGUGGAGAACCAGUGGAUCAACUGGAAUAUUCUCAAAUCAUAGGCAGUCUAAUAUACGUCAUGAACUGCACUCGUCCGGACAUUGCUCAUUCAGUUAGUAAAUUAAGUAUAUUUACAGGCAAUCCUGGAAAUGACCAUUGGAAUGCAUUAACUAGAGUACUUAGAUACUUGAAAUAUACUCUAGAUUUUGGUUUGCAUUAUACUAGAUAUCCAUUUGUACUAGAAGGCUACAGUGAUGCUAAUUGGAUAUCCGAUACUAAAGAUUCUAAAUCCACAAGUGGUUACGUUUUCACUAUAGGUGGAGCUGUUGUGUCAUGGAAAUCUACAAAGCAAACAUGUAUAGCUCGAUCCAUAAUGGAAUCGGAGUUCAUAGCUUUAGAUAAAACUGGAGAAGAAGCGGAAUGGCUUCAUAAUUUCCUAGAAGAUAUUUCGUGUUGCAAUAAACCAGUGCGGCAAUAUAGCGGAUUCGUUGACUAAAGGUAAUAUAGUCAAUUAGCAAUUGGAAGGGCACAAAGCAGCAUUUAUAAUGGUAAGUCUAGACACAUUCGUCGCCGACAUAAUACCAUAAGACAAUUGAUCUCAAAUGGAAUAAUUUCUAUAGACUAUGUAAAGUCUAAGGACAAUUUAGCGGAUCCGUUGACUAAAGGUUUACCAAGAGAUCAACUACAAUGCCUAUCUAGGGGUGGGAUUAAAACCCAUCAAUUAAGAACAAUCUUAGUGGUAACCCAACCAUGCUGACAGGAGAUCCCAAGAACUGGUUCAAAAGGGACAAACAACUAAGCUAAGAAAGUUUAGUCGAGCACUAAGGAACUCAUUCCUAACUCAUUCCCGCGAAAGAUAAUAGUGCUACCUGCAGAAAGGGUAAAGGAUAAGCUAACGCUUUUAAUGAUUCCAAAACCUUAUAAUAAAUGUGAGGUAUUGGCAGGAUACCUUUAAUAGGAGAUCACCUAUGUAAGUGUAUGAAGUGAAGGGCGCUUCAAAAACUUGACAAACACUUAUGAAUCCAAGAUGUGUGUCCAUGGACAAAACGGACACAAUCAUGAGAACUAAGAAAAUGUGAGAAUAGUAUUGUGUGGGUUGCAUUGUCUUGGUUUACACGAACGGCUGACAGUUCAAGACAUCGCGUUCACUACUCAGCCUAGUAAAUCCGAUGUAAAUCCACUACGGAAGGUUCAAAGCUAUAUGCUACCUAUCCCGAUGCAAUACUAUUCGUGGGAACUCUAGAGAGAAUCGACGCCCUCGUUUUAAUUCAUGUGGGGGAUUGUUGGGAAAAUUGGUUAAAAAUUGAGUCAUGAGCAUUUUUUAUCAAUGUUAUUAUAUAGUCUAAUUGAUUAUAUAAAUCAAUUUCGGAUUAGAUUAAUAUAAAACCAAUUUUGUGGUAAAUGAAAAAUUACUAGUCCAAAAUAUAAGGAAAGUGGGAUUUUGAGUUAUCCCACAUUGGAAAAGUAUAGAAGUACUGAGCUGUAUAUAUAUCUAAAUGUUAGGACAAAGGGUCACGCCCUUUGGGCAUUCAAAUUUGUUUGGGAGAAAGACCUAUAUGUUAUGUGUUUCAAAUCGUGCCCGCGCGCGCUGUCUGUCUGUCCGGCUCGGCUCCGCUCGCUCGUACGUACGUACGGACUGACUGGAUUGGAUUUGGGCUUGGGCUUGCGCCCAAAUCACUACAUUACUUUUUUGGGCCAAAAACAUUAGGACAUGGGCCGUCAAUCCAUUGGACCCUUCUUACUCGAAGCCUAUCUCGAAUGGUCUGACUGGUUUGAAUUGAUGCGUCCGAACCAAUGCAAACCAUUCGGCUCAAAUCGAAUGGUCUGACUGGUUUGAAUUGAUGCGGCCGAACCAAUGCAAACCAUUCGGCUCAAAUCGAAAUGGUGCAACCAUUCCCAAUCGGCUCAACUCGAAAUGGUGCAACCAUUAAGCCCAAAAUGUACCUUUUUGCUCCAAAGGACACUACUUUUCGAACCUUAUAAAUAGACCUUUCUUUCCCAGAAUUCAUCACUUCAAUCCAAAAUCAGCCUACUGCAUAUUUAGCCUACCCUUCACAGAUUCUCUCGAAAAGUUCUACACAAAGUACAAUUCGUCGUACUUGGGAUUUGGAGUGCUCCUAUUCCAAGCCUUGCGGUUGUAUCUUAAGAGACGAUUUCCGUUCAAGCCGUUAGCACCGUUGCGGGGAAAUUUCGUCUUAAGGACAGAGUCAACUCGCCUCGGCAAAUAUUCGUUCAUAGCAGAGAUAUUCCAACAACUCUAUCGCACGAUCUCAAUUUUUUUUUUCUUAGUUUUCAUUUCUUCUUCUCUAUUCACGACUCCACCCUCUUUCUUUUCUCCACCGCCGCCCUUGUCUCUUCUCUCCACCACCGUCGUGACCCCUCUUUGCCCUCUCUCUCCACCACUCGCCCAUGCUCUCUUCGCGGUGGUAAUAAAAACCAUGCGCUUUUGCAGUCUGGCAUAAACCUCAUCUCCCGUCGGCAUAUGCAAGAUGGGGACAAAGAGAUAAGGGAGUUUUGCAAGGCAAGGCUGCCUUUUUAUAUGGUGCCGAGAAUGUUAGUGUUCAAGGAAGAGUUCCCGAAGCUGGUAAAUUUCAAAAGCUUUUUGCUUAGGGAUAUAUGCUCUUUCUUUUCUAUUGCAAUGUGUAAUGAUACUUUAAUUAGUUCAUUGAUAAUGUAUUAUGUGGGCAGAAUUCGAUCUCCAUUUUUGUAGAGAUCCACUUAUCGAUUAUUUUUGUGAUUAUCAUAUUUUUCUACCAAAAAUUGAUUUUAUAAUUUUUGGGAUCAAAAUUGACUUUAAAAGGUCGACGAAGAAUAUCUUACAGCUGCCAUGGAGGCUGCUGAUGCUAAAGGGAAAUGGGAAAAAAAUUCAUGGGGCAGGAAGUUGAUUUGUUCACAAGAGAUGGGCUGCUCUAAAUGACUUUGACCGGUUUACAUUGAUGCUUACAAAGAUCAAUAGGCUAGGGUUGUUCGACAGAUGCGAAGCUUAAGAAAGAGACCCCUGUUUGAGUAUUAUAGUUUCCUAUCGUUAAGAUUUUGUAGGAUUUUGAAACUUUUAUCGGCUUAUGUAAACCUUUUUCUUGAAUUUGUAGACAAAAUGGAAAGUCUUUGAAUUUUUUUGUAUUUAACAUUUGGAGUUGCUUGGAAAUUAAUUUUCUAUAAAAAAGAAAAAAUUGGGAUCAGGUUUCGCCUAAAGUCGAUCGGAUCUGAGGGAUAAGUGUUCCUGGUCUGACUUGGAGUGGCAGUUGUUGCCGACAAAUAUACCUGAUGCAGGCCCGGCUAAUAGAAGAGUCGGGGUCGACGACGCUUACAAAGAAUAGUGGAUUUCGAAUUCUCAUGAGUAAUGAAUAGUGGACCAUGCUAGAAUGGCGGGUGGUUGACAGCGCAUAUAGUGAAUAGUGGAUUUCAAAUUCAAGCAGUCCAUAGUGGAUUACGUUAAUUUCACAAUGAAUUUUAUAUAUAUAUAUAUAUAUAUAUAUAUAUAUAUAUAUAUAUAUAUAUAUAUAUCGUUUGUCAUCAAUUAAUCUCCUAAAUGAGUUAUUAUUAGAUCUUGAAUUUUUUUCAUAAUCAUUCUAUCUAAUAAUACUUAUGUUUACAUUGAUGAAUAUUACAAAUUAAUUGAUGAUAAAUCAUACUCUUUUAACACUAAACUUUUUGCUUUUAUUGUGUUAAAAAAAUUGGUCUAUUUACUAUUAAAAUUUAAGUUAAGCAUGUUAACCAUAUAACUUGUGUAGUUUGGAUGUAGAUUUUUCUAUGCAAUACAUAUUUUUUGUUAUGAAUACUAUGCAAUGUCUUAUAAAUAUGUGUACAUAGUUAUUAUAUUAAAGUCUCAUCCGUAGUUUACGAAAUAUAGCUUUAUUUUAAUUUGUAUUUGUAUUUCAGUUUACUUAAGUUUGUUGUUAUUCUUUUGUACUUAUUUGAGUGUAAAAAAUGAAGUAAUUAAAAAUAAAUAAAAAAUCAGUGAUUUCACGUUAAUUGAAACAAAACUCAAGCUUGUGUUUCGUGUAAAACAACACGAAACACAAGCUUGAGUUUCGUGUAAAUUUACGUGAAAUACAAAAAAAAAUGUAUGGUUUCCAAAACAUUAUUUUGUGCUUCUUUGCACAAAAUGCUUCCAUACAUUUCGUGUUAGGGAACACGAAAUGCUCAUGCACGAACCAUGGUUCGAAAAUGGUUUGAGGGAAUUGUGGUUUUUUUUUAAAGUUGCACAUGAAAUAAAGUCGCACUGCAAGCCAGUAAAACCCGCACUAUGAAUAGUAUUUCAGUUUCAAAUAUGAGGCCACCUCCACGCGUUUCUUUGAAUUUCAGUUGCCCCCUUGUUUUGUUGUUUUAACUUUUUGACUUUUGACUGUUUCGAGAAUAUUUGGGCUCUCCGUGGACUAUAUAAAAUAGAUUGAAACUUGGGCUUAAGUUUUUUUUUUUUUGAGAAACUCUACGAGAAAUAAGUUAAUAAUUAAUAAACAAUGAGAUUCUAUUUGAAACUGGAUUAAUUUAAUAAUUUUGAGAUGAAAAAGGUGAGUUUUCCUUAUAAAUAGCACACAAUUGUGCUGGUGAGUUUAUUUGAUACUACACCGGGUGAGUUUUAACCAUUGAUAUGGUUAAAUUACCACCCACUAAGCACACUUUCACAUGGUUGUUUGUGAUUAUAUGCAGAUCAACAGUUAAUAAUCACCCGGUGUAUUUCACUGGGUGUAGCAUCAAAGAAACCUUCAAGACAUGGAACACACUUGAGAAUACAAGAAAGAACAAAAUAAGAAAAAAAUGUUAUAUUUCCUUAUACUUGAACUCGUAUAUUCUUAUUUUGUUUGAAAUCGUUUAGUAUAUUUACAACACGUGAUCAACACGAAUUGCUCUACCAUAUUCCUUCAACCAGUAAGGAUCAUAGGUUUAAUAUAUCACCCUCUAUGAAGCUCAAUUUAUUUUGGAGAAGUAAAAUGUCUGUUAUACGUUUCUUAUUCUCUAUUGUUAAAUAAUCAAGGUAAAUAAAAUAAGAUGGAGAGGUUAUGAAAUUUACAUCAUAUAUAUAUAUAUAUAUAUAUAUAUAUAUAUAUAUAUAUAUAUAUAUAUAUAUAUAUAUAUAUAUGGUAACCCUAGUUGACUAGAGAGUGACACGUGUAUAUUAAUAAUUAUUCAUUGUAUUUGUGCCGUUAGAGUGAGAGUGCUCAUGUGUGGUUGGUGUAAUGCUAUCAUGCCCCUCAAGCCAAGCUGGGAAGGGACGCCGAGGAGGCUCAAACGAAGAAGAGUGGACCAAGUUAUUGAUAAAGGCUUCGUGAAGAUGUCUGCUAAUUGGUCUUUGCUGGAAAGAAAUGAGACUUCCAGUGCUUUUGCUUGAAUCCGAUCCCGUACAAAGUGAUAAUCUAUGUCCACAUGCUUUGUUUGGGAAUGAAAGAUUGGAUUGUUUAAAAGGUAAGUUGCACCCAGAUUAUCACAAAAUAGAAUCGGAGUUGAAGAACAAGUAAUCCCCAAUUCCGUGAGAAGUGAUUGAAGCCAAAGUACAGGUUGCAUUAGCAAGAGCCUUUGUCUUCAGUACUAGAUCGGGCAAUGGUGGACUAUUUCUUUGAGCUCCAAGAGACAAUACUACGACCAAAGAAUAUAUAUACAAAAGCCACCCGUAGAUUUUCUAUCAUCAGGGGAACCGCCCCAAUCGGCAUCCAUAUAGGCUGUCAAGGUAUGUGUUUGAGACGCCGAAGGUGAAGACCAUGAUCGACAGUUUGUUUCAAAUAACGAAUAAUCCGUUUUACUGACUACCAAUGGGAUAGGCAAGGAGAGUGUACCCGAUUCACUGAGAAAGCAAGAUCAGGGCGAGUGAAUAAUAGAUAUUGCAGACUUCCAACAAUACCCGAUAUAAGGAGGAUCUUCAAAUGAGGGAGAAUCAAAGGCGGAUAAUUUGGUAGAAGGUGUCAUAAGACCGCUUACGCAUUUGCAUAUCAACAUAUUCGCUCUUUGAAGAUCAAGAAUGUACUUCCUAUGAGAUAAAAAUAGACCCGAAGAAUCACGGGAACACUCCAAGCCGAGGAAAUAAUGCAAGUCACCCAUAUUUUUCACCGGAAAAUCAUUACUGAGGGAUUUGAUCAAGUUCGAAAUAGCGGAAGAGGAAGAACCAGUUACAACUAUAUCAUCAACAUAGACAAGGAAAAAGAGAACUAUAGAAUCAUUCCGAUAAAUAAACAAUGAAGCAUCAGAUUUUGAAACAAUAAAUCCCAAUUCAACCGAACAAACCACGCUCGGCGGGGGAUGUUUAAGCUCAAUUCAACUUCCACACAUAACUUGGAAAAUCAGGAUGAACAAAGCCAGGAGGUUGUACCAUAAAUACAGAAUCAUCAAGGUGUCCAUGUAACAAGGCAUUCUGAAUGUCUAGCUGAGUGAUGGGCUAAUACACGAUGUAGCAAUUGACAAUACUAACCUUAUUGAUGUCGGUUUGAUCACAAGGCUGAAUGUCUCGGUAUAAUCCAAACCUUCUCACUGCUAGUAGCCUUUAGCUACUAAUCGCGCUUUCCGGCGCUCAAUAGAACCAUCGACAAGAAAUUUGGUUUUAAAAAUCCAACGGCAACCAACAAUAUUUUGGUUUGGAGACGACGUGACCAAGGACCACGUUUGAGUUUUCAUUAGGGCAUCAAAUUCAUUUUGCAUAGCUAAACGCCAUUCAGGAUUUUGGUAUGGUACAAAUUUUAGCAUUCGGACCCAUAGGUAAUAGCGGAAACACCAAACGGAUUAUAGUGUAAAAGUUCGACUGCACCGGUGGUUGUAAAAUCUCAUUGUCUAUCAGUAUAGGCUUGUAUGGCUAUGGAUAGGCGAGGUUGCAUUCAUGGAAGGUAAGAACCCAUGUAAUCCGACAGCUGCCGUAUCAAUAUCACCCCAAAGAAGAACUCGGAAUCUGAAGAUAGAUUUGAAAACAAAGUCAUGCAAAGAAAAAACUGAAAACUCUGAAAUUAACAAGUAUCUCAGAGCAGACUAACCCAGAGCAACGAUCGAGGAAAGGAAAAUCAAAUAUCAAUUAGUAAAACAGGGAGAAGAUUCUUCAUAUAAGUAACGUGUGGAAGGAUACUCAAACUCGAAGCACUUUCUUGUACCCUGAAAAUAACCAAACCAUGACAAGAGAAAACAUUGAUCCGACCCAAAAUUGCAUGAUUAUACAUACACACAUGUUGCUACAUAACCAAAAAAUGUACGAUGGACUUAUCAUGAGACACGUACAGUACUAUAUUGGUUCAAAAGAGACCCUUUAUUUCUUUUUGUGGAUAAGAAAUCAUAUAUAUAUUCAUUGAGAAUGAGAAAACAAGGAAAGACAAUGGGUUCAAUAUCGACCUCUACCAAAAAUACUGAAUAGAAAAAAAUCGGAUACAAAACCGUAUGCAAUUCCAGUUACAAAAGUUUCAGAAUUUUAAAAAUUAAGAACACCUUAUAAAAAUCAAUAACAUGAAUUCCACAGAUACCAGUUGCAAAAAAAAAAAAAAAAAAAAUAGAGAACGAGAUCUAAGAAAGCAAAGAUUACGAGUUAUUAUGAUUCAGAACUUAUUCAACAUCCAUUUCAUGCAUGACGCAAAGACUAAGAUUCCAUUUCUAACGAAAAUUUAGAAAAAUGGGAAAAUUUCACAGUUAGAUUUUCUUGGCCCUCCUCCUUUACCCGGGCUUGGGACCGGCUGUGCUGAGCAAAUAUUGCAGCACAGGCGGAGUUACAAGAAUAAACCUAUAUAUACAACUAGCAACACUAAAACACACACAUAAUCACAGAUAGAUAGAAGCAAGGAAAAUGUACAUACCAUUCCAGACAACAAAAUAUUAAGGCUGAGAAAUAUUUGAUUCAUAUACGAUAAUAGAUUGGAUAAAAGCUUGCAUCAACUCACAAUCUGCAAAAGACAAUUUCACGCACUUGAAAAUUCAAAACAGCAGAUCAUCAAAUCACGAUGAAGAACUGACCAAGAACUGCGCAGAAUGGUAAUCCAAAACAUAUUCAAUAGAUUUUAAACAUCCUCAAAACAGCAGAGCAGCAAAUCUAAUAUCUCCUCAUAAGAAUCACAACAUGCGAGCAGAAACCGAAGCCCUAACAGUCAACUUCAAAUACGGCAGCCACUUGACAACAGUUGUGAUAUUAAGUCUAAUGUAUCAUAACAUCAACAAAUUCCUACACGAGGUUUAUUAUUCGGAGAUGCAUAGUGACAACUUAGCUUGUGUAGAAAGAUUGCCAGGAAGAAAAAACCAAAUCUUCGUAGAUGCAUAUUAAUCGAUGCAUAUAAAACCAAAAAGAGAUGUUCAAGGCCACAAUAAAGAAUACUACUCACUUGAUCUGCAGAAGAAGCACGUUCCACCAGUAGUGCAUUAUCUGACCAACUAAAAAGCACACACAAUUCCAGUGGCAAAUAACAGAGACACCGAUAGAAACAAAACUCUGCAGAAACCUUGCUAAGAAACCAAAGAACACCAUACACGAAGGCACAUUGGGGGGCGUCUUAUUGCUAUUCAUGAUCUCAUAUUUUCUAGUGAAGUUCAUGAGGCAAGUUAAUAUGAUAGUGUCUCCUGGAAUCGAGAAAUUCAUGAUAGGGAUUUACUUUCCAAAGAAAAAUGAAGUAAAUAAAAACCACAGCUCCGUAAAUGUGAACCAACAAAAGAUAAAAAGUUAAUAACCAACCAGUAAAAGAAGAGUCAACAUUCUCAACACAUAGUAGGCAAAGUUCAGUUAUGAAUAAGAUUUUCAGCCUCUAGUUUCAAGCCCAAGAGAAUAUCAAUGUCAACAGUCAUUUUAGUAGUCAUACAACUGCGAUUCUACUAGAUUACUUGGAGAAGUGAAUUUCAGACAAAUAGAGACUUCAACCAUGCUAAUUUCAGUUUAUGAUUCCGAUCAAAACUAAUGGAUUGAAACUAGUGGAGCUAGGAUGGCAUGUUAAUUAAGAAAAAUGCAAGAAACAAAUUUAAAAUGCCACUAUUGAAAAUAAAUUUUAUAUUCGGCAAGUUUAUGAAACUAUAAAAUAAAUAUCCAAAUUCAAAUCAGUACAUUAUUACUUGUAAUUUAUGAAUUAUAUAAAUCUGGAUCAGUAGAAUCCUAAAAAACUAGAGGACGAACAUAAAAAAUAGAUUAUAGGUAGCAGAAGUAAAAGAUUAAACGCGGAACAUGCAGACUAAGCAGAGGUGAGGGAAUUUUAUCGUUGGUGAGAGCAUUUUAUAGCCAAGAUUUUAUAAACAGAUAAAAUCUAGCUGUAAUCAUCCAUAAAUUAUAAAUUAUAAUUCAAAUUAUCCUAUCCAAGAUUAGAAAGUUUUAUAGAUUAAAGAUUAUAGAUUAUAAAUUGCUAAUGUCUAUAUGUAGAAAAAGGAAAAAGGUUAACUCCAUGUUUUUUUUUCGCGUAAUAAAGUUAACAUCAUUGCUUUUGGGGGCUUAUGUUUCCUAUUAACUAACUUGGCAAGUAAGAAUGAUAUCAAAAUUUGCUUCGAAAGGCCAAAAAAGGGGUUUGGCUAAAGGAAAUAUAUCCAAAAAAGGAUGAUGAUAUAAUUAAUAAUUAAUCAAACCAAUUUAGACGGAAAUAGGACAGACAAACAGAAACUCAAACCUACAAAUAAUUUAAUAACUAAUAAUAAAUUUAGUUUAGGACAUUUUUACGACUGCUUUCAAAAUCUAAGGCAAGAAACAAAACUCUGUGCAGAAGAAACAAAAGAACACCAUACAUGAAGACACAAGGGGGUGUCUUAUUGCAAUUCAUGAUCUCAUAUUUUGUAGUGAAGUUCACGAGGCAAGUUAAUAUGACAGAAGUGUCUCCUGGAAUCGCGGAAUUCAUACAGCUCCGGAAAAGCGAACCACCGAAAGAUAAAAAGUCAAUAACCAACAAGCAAAAGAAGAGACAAAAUUAUUAACACAUAAUAGGCAGAAGUUAAGUUAUGAAUAAGAAAACAUCAGUGUCAACAGUCGUUUUAGUAGUCAUACCGAAUCGCAAUUUUACUAGAUUACUUAGAAAAGUGAAUUUCGAAAAAAUAGACUUCAGCCAUGCUAAUUUAAGUUUAUGAUUCCCAUCAGAACUAAUGGAUUGAAACUAGUGGACCUAGGAUGGCAUGUUAAUUAAGAAGAAUGCAAGAAACAGAUAUAAAUGCAACUAUUAAAAAUAAAUUUUAUAUUCAGCAAGUUUAUGAAAAUAUAAAAUUCAAAUUCAAAAAUUAAAAUCAGUACAUUAUAAUUUAUAAUUUAUGAAUUAUAUAAAUUUGGAUCACUAGAAUCCUAAAAAAGUCAACAGAGAACAUGCAGCCUAAGCAGAUAUGAGAGAAUUUUAUCCUUAGUGUAAGCGUAUCAUAUAGUUACCGUCAUGAAUUCUAGCCAAGAUAUUAUAAACAGAUAAAAUCUAGCUGCAAUCAUCCAUAAAUUAUAAUUUAUAAUUUAAAUUAUCCUAUUCAAGAUUAGAAAAGUCAAUAAAUUAAAGGAGCCUAGAGCUAUAAAUAUGCCAUUAUGGUUACCUUAACUUACCUUAAAUACUGCUAAGGAAAUUGAGAAACCAGCAUCAACUCAGCAACCCAGAGCUCUAGGAGGUACUAAGAAGACGAACUAGGAGGUACUAAGAAGACGAACUCAAACAUACAGCUUGUUUACUGAACAAUAAAUAUACAACCAAACAAGCCACAAACAGAAACCAGAGGAUAUGCAGAGAAAGUUCAAGAAGCCACACGUAAUAGAACUAUAUAACCUCCAUGCUUUUUUUUUUUUCUUUUUUUUUCCCACAAUAGUUAACUAGGAUUUCAUCAGUGCUUUUGGGGGAAUAUGUUUCCUAUUAAUUAAUCUUGGCAAGUACUUACGUUAUCAAAAUUUGCUUCCGAAAGCUGAAAAAAGGGUGUGAUCUGGUAGAGCAAUUACAACAGCACUUUAAUCAAACCAGUUUAGGCAGAAAUAGGACAGACAAAUUGCGUUACAAGAAAAAAAACGACAAAUUGCGUUCAGACAAAUAAAUAACUAAAAUCAACAGUAAGAAGGAAGUACAGAUUGCCUGAACCUGGAUGAGUCCAAUUACUCUAGAAGCAUUAAAAUGCAAAUGGUAUGUAAACCCAUGUUUGUUUCAAGCAGAUAACAGAAAUCACAAAAUGAAACAUCGAGGUACUGAUGGUCCUACGAAGUAAAUAAAUCACAAAUUAGUUAUCUUUCUCGUUGUGCCUUGAUCCAAUCAGGUGGUGAUGGAUAUUAGCACAAAGGUAAUAGAAAUACUAUGAAAUAAACAAAUCACAAAAUACAUCAACUUCCCCAUUAUGUCGUGAUCCAGUAGCUAAGACUCUAAACCUCAAAUACAACUGCAUGCAAAGUUAAGAGAAAACGAAACAGACGGGGACUGGGUAAAAAGACACAGAAGGUAAAAGAAGUCCAAUGAAAUAAAUAAAUUAUCAAUUUGAUAUUCCCCAUUAUGUCCCGACCCAAGUAGCUUCCGACAUGACUCUAAAAACCUCAGACCGAACUGCAAUUUAAAGGACAAAUCAGAUUAGAAAAUCAGGCAACAUCAGUGCAGGAAUGGGGUAUUAGAACACAAUAUGGAAAUAAAGAUAUCACUAAUUAUAUUAUCUUCCCCAUUAUGUCUCAAUCCGUUAGCAGCUUUUAAGACAAGACUCUAAACCUCAGAUCAAACUGCAUUUACCAGACAAGACAAAAUUAAACACCUAGGUAGUGACACAAAAAGGUGAUAGAAUUCUUAGGAAACAAAUAAAUGAAAAUUGUAUCAUCUUCCGCAUUAUGUCUCGAUCCCAACAAUAGCUUUAAGGUAAGACACUAAACUCAGAACAACUGCAAUCAAUGGUCAACAGAAUGAAACAUCCAGGUAGGGAGGGUGAACAAAUCAUAAAUUAGUUAUCAUCCUCGUUUUAUCUCUGUCCCAUCAAUGGCUUCAGACAAGACUCUAAACCUUAAAUCCAACUGCAUGUUAGACAAGAGAGAACAGAACAUCCAGGUGGAGAGAGGAUGUAUUAGCACAGAACAAAAGAGUAUAAGUGCCGCGAAAUAAAUAAAUCAGAAAUUAGAUUAUCUUCCCCAUUGUGGAUCGACUCCACCAGUAGCUUUAAGAUAAGAAUAUAAACCUCAAAUCCAACUGCAUGCAAAAUGAAACAGACAGGGACCGGGUAAAAACACAGAAGGUAAAAGAAUUCUGAUGAAAUAAAUAAAUCAUCUAUUAGAUCUUCCCGGUUAUAUCCGGACCCAAGUGGCUUCCGACAAGACUCUAAAAAACUCAGACCGAACUGCAAUUCAAAGGACAAAUCAGAUUUAAAAAUUAGGCAACAUCCUCAAAUCGAACUGCAUGUCAUAGACAAGAGAGAACAGAACAUCGAGGUGGAGAAGGAUGUAUUAUCACAGAAUAAGGGAGUAUAAGCGACGUGACAUUAUUUAAACCAGAAAUUAGAUUAUCUUCCCCAUUAUGUAUUGACUCCGCCAGUAGCUUUCAGAUAAGUAUCUAAACCUCAAAUUCAACUGCAUGUAAUGGACAAAAUAGAACAUUAAGGUGGGGGGAGGGGAUAGAAUUCCCAAGAAAAAGAUUAAUCAUAUGUUAGAUCUUCCCCAUUAUGUCCCAGAAAGUAGCUUUAGAUAAAACUGAACCUCCAAUUGGUCACGGCAGGACCAAAACAUCCAAGUAUGAAUAUCCCCUUAGCACACAAGUUAAAUUAUCGUCCCCGUUAUUUCCCGUCCCAAUAGCUUUAAGAUACGACUCUAAACAUCCAAUCCAACUGCAUAUAACCGGCAAAACAGAUAAAACAUCCAGCCAUGGAGGGGGUAUAAGCACAAAAUAAGAGAUUGGCUGUCUUCCCCUUAUGUUCGUGCCCAUCAGGUGGUAAGAUAAUACUCCAAGCCUCAGAUCCAACUGUAUUCACUAGACAGGACAAAAUAAAUCACCUAGGUUGCGAGGGGGUAAUAGAUCCAUGAAAUUAAAAAUCACAAAUUAGAUUAUCUUCCCCAUUAUGUUCGAUCUCAUUAAUAACUUCAAGAUAAGACUCCAAACACGAGAUCCAACUGCAUGCAAUGGACAAACCAAUGGAACAUCCAGGUGGGGAAUAAAAAUUAAACGAAAUAAAUAAAUCAUAUAUCAGAUUAUCUUCUCAAUUAUGUCUUCAUCCCAUCAGUCAUCCAAAUUGUAUAUAACAGACAAACCCUGAGCACACAAUAAAUAAAAAAAUCAAGUAUCUUUUCCAUUAUGCUUCAAUCCAUUCAAUAGUUUUAAGAUAAGACUCUAAACAUCAUAUCCAACUGCAUUUACUCAGGUCUCUUGCUUACGAGAGAGGUGACCUAUCCACAUGAUCCAUAAGAGGCUGAAGUCUAGUAAAAUUAGAUUUUCAUCUUUCCAGAAGUUAGCUUUAGAAAAUAGAGAUGAAACUAGCACAACUUCCUAAAGACCACAAAUCAAAGGUACCAAAUGGUUGAACGACCACAGUCAUUUUUGUUGCAAGUUUCUGCAAAUAGAAAGGAAAAACGACCACCACUCGCCGAUCAACACAGCCCAAUCCAUCCUAUGUAGCAACCAAACUUCUCAAAACAUAACACGAAAUUGUCAUACAAGCAAAUCGACGAAAAGACCGAGAAAUGCUAAAAGCUCAAAACACUUGCCUUCAUCCAGAAAACAAAUAAAAUCAGCCAACAAUCAGACCAGCGUGGGAAAACAUGAAUCAAAUCCAAACCACGGGAUAUUAAAACGCACAUCACUCCAUAACCAAACAUCAUAAAUAUCUUGCCGGAACAAUUAUCAUACAAACAAGACCAGCAAAACCACCCAAUCAGAACCACAAACAGACAGGAACGAAAGAGAUUUAGAUAAAAUACAAGGUAGAUUAUCUUCCCCAUUAAGUUUCCAUCACAUCUGUAGCUUUACAUAAGACUCUGAAGCUCAUAUCCAACUGCAUUUUCCAACCAUUUGCUUAAGCGAUAGGUGACCCUGUGCAAACGGUCCAAGGAUACAUUUAAGAUCAGAUUCGUCAUUCCAAUAGCACAUGUAGUUUCAGAGAGUAAAAUGGAACUACGACAACUUCCCUUAAACCACAAAAAAAAAGGGUACCGACUAGUAGGACGCCUAAAUAAAUUAUCUUCCUGCUUAGGCAAUAGAUGAUAAGCAAUAGAUGAACCUGUCCAAAGGGUACAUUAGCGCUUGUAAAAUCAAAUUUACUAAUCGACUUGCCGAGUCAGUUCAAAAUAAUAUUAGAUGGAACUAGCAACACUUUUCUUUAAACCCCAAAACAGAGGUCCACCAUCACUUUUGUUGCAAAUGCCUGCAAACAGAAAGUAAAAGAAGAACAGAGGAUUUAAAGAUUGAUUUGAAAGCAAUAUGACUGUAUAAAGUAGUAAUAUGAAUAUUGGACGAAAAGGUGACGGUUGAGGGAGACAUAAGAAAAUACUAUCUCAAUAGUGUACCGUAGACGCAUCUCACUAAGCCUUCAACCAGAAGCAAGAAAACAGUUAGCUUUAGAAAAACAAGGAACACUGAGUCUUCAAACGGCGUAAAGAAGAAGCAAUUCUUUAGAUGAGACAGAUUAAACAGGUAGAGACUCUUUCAUGGUAAUUAUAAGCAUGUACCAGAUACUCCGAUUCCCCUGAGCCAAAAACAUCUUACGUGGUAACCAAACUUCUCAGGACUCCACACAAAACUGUCAUAUAAGCAAAACAAGGAUAAGGAAAAAUACUCAAACUUGAAGCUUCGUCUUCUCAUGAUUUAUUAUUGUUUCCGUCGAAGUCUAUGUCAUCUCAUAAAAGAAAAUAGAAAAAAUAGUGAACCGUAACCAAACAUCAUGACACAUGCCGUAUCAAAAUCACCCAAAUAAGAACAGGAAAUACUAUGGUCGUAUAAAGUAAAAAUCUGAAAAUCGAAUGACAAGGAUGAUGAUCACAUUAAGAAUAUGUAAUCUGGAACUGAAAAAAUCAUAUCCAACAGUAGACUCCACUAGAACCCACUGAGCAACAUAUUACACAAUCAGAAACGAAAGAAAGAUCCAUACGCUAAUUAAAUCACAAAAUAAAUUAUCUUCCCAUCAGAUCGAACCGAGAUCUCUAGCUUAAGCAAUUGACGAUCCUAUCCACAGUAUUCAGGUGUACAUAAGCUCCUAUCCACACUAUCCAUGUGUGCGUAAGCUCUAGUAAAAUGAGAUCCAUCGUUCUACUUGCACAUUUAGCUUAGCUCCAUAAAAUAAAGAUGAGACGAAGCACAACCUUCCUGAAACCACAAAACAGAAAGUACCAAACAGUAAUAAAGCGAAUUGAUAGCCACAAAAAUGUUUGUUGGAAAUUUCUGCAAACAAGUAGGAAAAGCAGUAAAGGUAUUUAAAAUAGAUUAUAAAAAAACUUGUGAUAUAAAGUUAGAAAAAUAAGGAGGAUGAGGGAGAGAGAGAGAAAGCAAGAUUGAACCAUAUCUGGAACUGACGUGUCUCAGAGCUGAAUUCCUACUUUAAUACAACACCUGUGGAUCAACACAGUCCAAAGCAAAGGUCGAAAGUCGAGAAAUAUCAUAUCUUGCACAUAUAUAUAUCAUAAGGAGAAUCAAAUCUUAAUCGGCAGAACAGAGAGAAGGUUCUUCAUAUGAGACAAAUAGGUUGAACAUCCAGUGGCAGACGAAAGUUUACCGGACACUCUGUUUAGAAUUGUCAUAUAAACACAAUCAUGACGAGGGGAGAACAUACUCGUAUUCAAAGCGCUUUCUUCUACAAGGAAUCUUUUUGAGAAAAAAACAAAUCAGCCGAUUACCGAAACCCUGGCAAGAGAAAACACAAUCCAAACGCAAAACCCAUGUUAAUAAACCACUUGUUAAUGCAUACGAAAACCACACCUAAUACCUCGCCGGAUCAAAAUUACCAAAAUAAAACCAAUUCAGAAUCACAAUCAGACGAACGACCCCGAAUCCAUGACGAUCCAAUUGUCAAACCGGCAAAAUAACCCCAAAUAAAAUCAAAUCAGGACCACAAUCAGACGGUAUCGCGAAAGAGAAGAAAAAACACGCGACGGAUAAUCAUUGAAUUGAAUUGCGCAGGUUUCAUAGCGACGAUGAUACAUAUAAUCUAGAAAAACGGAGACGACAAAUAAACAAAAGCAAUAAUCAAACAAAACUCUAAAAUCCGCAGAUAACCAACAAAGACGAGAGACGAAGGAAUGAGUUACGGUUGUAGGAGGGGACGGGUAUUUAUAGAAGAGUCGGUGUUGAGUGGACGGCUGAGAUUAAUCGGAUCAAAGAUACCAAAUGGUUGGACAACCACCGUCAUUUUUGUCGCAAGUUUCUGCAAAUAGAAUUUGAAAUGUAAAAAAUAAUAGAUUAUGGAGGGAUUCAUAAGAAUAUAAAAUUUGGCAUCACUAUCGUACUCACCACCACUCGUUGUUCAACACAACCCAAAUCAUACUAUGUAGCAACCGAACUUCUCAACACAUAACACGACAUUGCCAUACAAGCAAAUUCACGAAAAGGCGGCGAAAAGCCCAAAGCUCGAAACACUUUCCUUUUUCCAGAAAUCCUAUGACCGCGCGGAAAACAAAAUCAAACCAGCCAACAACCAGACCAGGAUGGGAAAAUAUGAACCAAAUCCAAACCACGGGAUAUUAAAUUGCAUAUCACUCCAUCACCAAACAUCAUAAAUACCUUGCCGGAUCAAUUAUCAUUCAUAGAAGACCUUGACAGCACCACAGAGAAAAGAAACAUAUAAGACACGCUCCCGAUAAUUAGACUGUAAGACCAGCAAAACCACCCAAAUCAGAACCACAAACAGAAAGGCACGAAAGAGCUUUAGAUAAAACACAAGUUAGAUUAUAUUCCCCAUUAAGUAUCCAUCACAUCUGUAGCUUUACAUAAGAGACUCUGAAGCUCAUUUUCCAACGGUUUGCAAAGGGUCCAACGAUAUAUGUAAAAUCAGAUUCAACAUUCCUAUAGCACAUGUAGUUUCAGAUAUUAAAAUUGAACUAAGACACUUCCCUUAAGCCACAGAAGAAAGGUACUGACUGGUAGGACAGGUAAAUAAAUUAUCUUUCCGCGUAGUCAAUAGGCCAGAGUAAUGUAGAUGGAACUAGCAAAAACUUUCUUUAAACAGAAGGCCCACCAUCAUUUUUGUAGCAAAUGUCUGUAGACAGAGAGGAAAAGAAGAACAGGGGAUUUGAAGAUUGAUUUGAAAGUAAUAUGACCGUAUAAAGUAGUAAUAUGAAAAUUGAGGGAGCCGUUAGAAAAUACUCUCUCAAAGAAUCUGAGACGCAUCUCACUAAGCCACUACCUGCUGCCGAUCAACACAUUUUGCAACCAGAAGCAAGAAGGUUUUCAUGAGAUAAAUAAAUCAGAAAUUAAAUUAUCUUCCCCGUCAUGUUGUCCGUUAAUCAGACUCAACCUCAGAUCCAACUGCACUAAUCCAUCUUUUGCUGAAGCAAUGGGUUAUCCUGUCCAAAGAUGGAACUUCAGCAGACCCCCUAAAAUACACAAACAAAAGUUACCAAAUGGGAGGACAUCCACCAUCAAUUUUCGAGAGGAAAAGCAAAACCCGGAUAAGGAGAAAAUACUCAAACUUGAAGCUGUUUCUUCUACCAAAAAUCAUAUUUUAACCAUUUCCUUCCAAGUCUAUGCCAUCUCGUAAAAGAAAACCAAACCAACGGACAAGAGAAAUCAUAAUCCAAACCCACACAAUCGAAAAAUAGACAAAAUAGUGGCCGAUAAGGAAACAUCAUACCACAUGCCAUAUCAAAAUCACCCAAAUAGAUUUGAAAACAUAUGGUCAUAUUUCAAAAUUGAAUGAGAAGGAUGAUGAUUACAUAAGAAUAUACAAUCUGGAACUGACAAAAACUCACUGAUCGAUAAGCUAAUUAAAUCACAAAAUAAAUUAUCUUGCCAUCAUCAGAUCCAACCGAGAUCUCUAGCUUAAGCAAUUGGCGAUCCUAUCCACAGUAUUCAGUUGUACUUAAGCUCCUUAUCCAGGUAUACAUACGCUCUAGUAAAAUCAGAUCCUCAUUCUACUUGCACAGUUAGCUUAGCUCCAUAAAUAAACAUGAAACACAACCAACAAAACAGAAAGUACCAAAUAGUAAUAAAGUAGUAAAGCAGUAAAGGGAUUUAAAAGAUACAUUAAAAAAAUUGUGAUAUAAAGUUAUAAAGUUAGAAAAAUAAGGAGAGAGAGAGAGAGAGAGAGAGAGAGAGAGAGAGAGAGAGAGAGAGAUUGAAAUAUCUGGAACUGACGGGAGUUUCAGAGCUGAGUUCCUACUUUAUUACCACAACUGCGGAUCAACACAGUCGAAAGCAACGGUUGAAGGUCAAGAAAUAUCAUAUUGCACAUAUAUAUCAUAAGGAGAAUCAAAGAGAGGUUCUUCAGAUGAGACAAAUAGGUUGAACAUCCAGUAGCAGAUCAAAAUAGCAGUCAAAAGGACGAAACUUUACCGGACACUCUGUUUAGAAUUGUCAUAUAAACACAAUUAAGACAAAAAGGAGAACAUACUCGUAUUCAAAGCGCUUUCUUCUACAAGGAAUCUUGUUCAAACAAGGUUGACAAAAAAUCAAAUCAGCCGAUUACCAAACCCUGGCAAGAUAAAACACAAUCCAAUCGCAUAACGCCUGAUAAUAAACAAUAAUAGACAACUCGUUGAUACCAUACCUAAUACCUCGAAAAUCACCAAAAGAAAACCAAUUCAGAAUCACAAUCAGACGGCCUCGCAAAGAUACGACCCCAAAUCCAUGACGAUACGAUUGUCAAACCGGCAAAAUAACCCCAAAUAAAAUCAAAUCAGGACCACAAUCAGACGGCAUCACAAAAGUGAAGAAAAAAAACACGCGACGGAUAAUCAUUGAAUUGAAUUGCGACGCGACGGAUAAUCAUUGAAUUGAAUUGCGCAGGUUUCUGCAGGAAAAGCAGUAAAGGGAUAUAAAAGAGAUAUUAAAAACAAUUGCAAUCUAAAGUUAGAAAAGUAAGGAGGAUGAGGGAGAGAGAGAGAAAGCAAGAUUGAACAAUUUUUGGAGCUGACGGAUAUCUAAGAGCGGAGUUCCAACUUUAUUACCACACCUGUCGAUCAACAGGUUCCAAAGCAAAGGUCUAGGAAUAUCAUAAGGAGAAUCAAAUCUUAAGGAGCAUCAAAAUCACCACAGAAAAGCACAAUCAAACCCUCUCGCAAAGAGGAGAAAUUGUUAUACCGGCGAAAUCACCCAAAUAAAAUUAAACAGAACCACAAUAAGACAGGAAUCGGAUAA